rnacentral:rRNA from 1 species
GACGAACGCUGGCGGCGUGCUUAACACAUGCCAGUCGAACGGAAAGGCCCUGCUUUUGUGGGGUGCUCGAGUGGCGAACGGGUGAGUAACACGUGAGUAACCUGCCCUUGACUUUGGGAUAACUUCAGGAAACUGGGGCUAAUACCGGAUAGGAGCUCCUGCUGCAUGGUGGGGGUUGGAAAGUUUCGGCGGUUGGGGAUGGACUCGCGGCUUAUCAGCUUGUUGGUGGGGUAGUGGCUUACCAAGGCUUUGACGGGUAGCCGGCCUGAGAGGGUGACCGGCCACAUUGGGACUGAGAUACGGCCCAGACUCCUACGGGAGGCAGCAGUGGGGAAUAUUGCACAAUGGGCGGAAGCCUGAUGCAGCAACGCCGCGUGCGGGAUGACGGCCUUCGGGUUGUAAACCGCUUUCGCCUGUGACGAAGCGUGAGUGACGGUAAUGGGUAAAGAAGCACCGGCUAUCUACGUG